rnacentral:rRNA from 1 species
UACGAAGGGUGCAAGCGUUAAUCGGAAUUACUGGGCGUAAAGCGUGCGCAGGCGGUGAUGUAAGACCGAUGUGAAAUCCCCGGGCUUAACCUGGGAACUGCAUUGGUGACUGCAUUGCUGGAGUAUGGCAGAGGGGGGUGGAAUUCCACGUGUAGCAGUGAAAUGCGUAGAGAUGUGGAGGAACACCGAUGGCGAAGGCAGCCCCCUGGGCCAAUACUGACGCUCAUGCACGAAAGCGUGGGGAGCAAACAGG